UCAAAGGGGCUGCGUCAGGAUAACUCAGGGUGUUCCUUCCAUGAUUUAGUGUUUCUGCUAUAACUUUAGUAAAAUGUGUUGAUCUUUCCACAUAGUCCCAAAAAAAAGAGAAAAACAUAGCAGCCCUUUUUUCUGAACAUAAUGUACAUUUAAGCAAUAAUGCAUCUCAAAAGCUGAAAAUAGAUGGCCCGAUCAAUCAGCCAGAGAGUGGAAUCAGCCCCUCUGAAUUUUAUUUGUAUCUGAUCAAGGAUGGCAUUUCUACACUGACGACGUGUGAGAACGCUGAAGUAUUCAAAUAUUUCUACUUUUCAAGCUUCAAAAACCAGACAUGUGAAGUGUUCUUAAUUUUUGUUUUUCUGCUUAUGCAUGCCUGGAAAUUGAUGGAAUAAAUUUAAUUUCCUGACUUCCUCUCUUUCUGAUUAUACAGGCAAAUAAAAAAAAAAUAGCAUUUUCCCCUUUAUCCAUCAUGUGCAUCAAACCAAGACUACUAAGCACUGCCACUGUAUUCGCACUAUAAACAUGAAACCUCAGCAUGAACUUCAUGUUUGAGUCUAAUCAACAUCAGAUACCCGUCAGGUAAAUGUGCUUUAAUGUAUAGAGAUAAUCAUAAGAGUUUUUGAUUUUUUGUUUGCUAUCAUAGGACCUUGACACAGCUUCCUCUCUUGUAUAUUCUGCUCCUUAAAAUGAAUCAGUAAUGAGAAGUCAGACCCUAAAGAAAACCACCACCUCUGCUGAAAUACUCCUAAUCUGGUGGGAAUCCCCAACUCGGGGGUUUUGUUUAUGACAUCUACAUCUUUGCAUGGUUCAGAAAAAUGUAAUUAUAUAAGCAAAUUCUCCGGUUUGGUGGUUUGAACUUCCAAUAGAGACAUGCCUUUCAAAGGACUGCGCAAGCUGCUUUAGAGAAGAAGGUGACGCAAAAAACGUUUCUAACCUGCUCUGCAGCGAGAGACGAGCGAGGGGCUUGGAGCUGAAGCAAUCAUGAACUUCGUAUGUUAGGCAGCGUGUCUAAAUUAAAGAAGAGGAAGUGUCAAGUGUCACAGCACAGUGGGUUUAAAUGGAUGCAUCAUCGUCAAGAGGAGUUUUAAAAGGACAACAGGAGAAGGAUUUCUCCAGAACUUCAAACGGAUUCCCAUUUCAUCGGUUCCCCCAGCCUCACAUCCCAGGCAGGCGGCCUCUCAUUCACCACAGCCGCGUCUUCAAAGAAAUCUCCGCAAGAUCAUUUCCCUUAUCAGCAAUAAAUAAAUCAGCCAGGCAUUAAAAGUGUUUAAUUCGCUUCUGAAUCAAGCACUAAAAAUAUGUGCUUUAAUAUGCGUUUUCACAUAAAAAACACUGAAUGCAUCUCGUCACCCAGCUUUCCUUUUUCUUUGCUGGGUUCUAAAUAGUAUGUAUGGCUGAGCUCUGCGUGCGGUCUGCAUGCAAACGUAUUCAGGGCUGUGAAUGCAACCAGAGUUAAAGUGCUUCAUCAUCCCCGUGUUAUCUGCCUCAGAUCGUGUUCCUCAGAUUAGACUCAUCGGGUCAGUGAAUACUGUCUGCGGUAAAUCAGUUGUGUGAUAUUUGUGGAUUGGCUACAACUCGCCACCUCGUGUUGACACCUUUCACCUGACCGCGCCAAAGUCUGCAGCGCUACAGAGGAGCAACACAGGGCUUCAGGAGCGAAGGGGAAGACAGAGAGGACACUGUAUUUAUUAGUAUUUACCAGGAAGUAUAACGGAGACAGAACCGCUGGAAGACUUUCACACCAGCAGAGGGGGAUGAAGAGGAGGGCCGACCCAGUCAGAGGGAGAAGAGAGGCAGACAACCAGACGGACAGAGGGUGGCCUGUGAAUUCCAGCCAGAGGAAAAGACCAUUGUUUGUUUUCCCUUGACAGGGGCCCUCUGUAAUCAGUAGGCUAGGUAAAAAAAAAGGCUAUAGGGAUUUAAAAUGUCAUCAUUAUCUUGUCCAUUUACCAAUCUUAAAUCAUUCAGCAGAUAUGAAGACUUAUCUCCUUCAAGAAGGAAUUGUUGUUUACAGAUGAGGCGAACGCCGGGAGUCGUUAUAUGCCAAAACUCUUCCUGACAUGGACUUUUACUGACUGUGAAUCUGGGCGAGGGGGGGAAAGCCCCAAUGAGCCCGAGCCAGAGCAACGGCAGAGGGCCCGGGCUGCGAGGGAGCGGCUUUCACCUUUCACCACGCAGGUCCACGGCAGCAGAGAGGGAGGCCUAUUGAUUUUAUUACGCGUUCAGUUGACAGGGUUCCUGCACGUUUUGCACGUCUUAGUUCCAUGGGGUUCCUCACUCAAAUGAGCAAUUAGUUCUCAGGCUUAAUUACAAAAGUUCACUACGCUGAUAUUUCCACUGAGGUCCGGUCGGUAAGCAAGGUCUGCAAAAAACUGCUGAGUGGAGAGAAGGAGGGAGGGGAUCAAGGAAGGAAGGAGGCAGAGGCAGCGAGGAAAGGAAGAAAAGAAGUAAGGAUGCACCAAAGGAUGGAACGUAAGCAAGUAUAAAAGGAAGAAGAAAAAAGCUGAAAAUAAGAAAGGAUAGAGCAAAAAUUGAAUAAAUUAUCAGAUUCCAUGCUUUUCCAGACUGCAUAUGAACCCUGAGUAACCAUAGAAAACCUACAAAACAAAUUAUGGAACAAGGUAAGUAAAUAAAAAAAAAAAAAA